rnacentral:lncRNA from 1 species
ACCAGCCCACCGGCACAGACGGCAAGAUAAGAAUCACUGAAAGAGUUGUCCCGGUGCCAUCCAAACCCAUCACUCACUCUCUCCUCUCCGCUCUGCAGAGGGCUCGUCCGACCUCAACAAGAACGGCAACAUCCUGAUCCACUGGAUUCCUCACCCCAAACACGGCUUCCCCAAGAUGUCCUCACGCCAGCGUUGUCAUGGAGACCGGUCUGUGUUAUGUCGCAUGGAUGUUGUGAAGCGCUACUGCUCUCUGCCGGAGUACCAGCGCAUAUGCUGCAAGUCCUGCAGCAAUGUCACCAUUGCAGAACCCAUACCCAAGCCAACCUCCAGCUCUCCGUCUGUAACGUCAGUCAAGCCCACGCUCAGAGCUCCUCCACCCGCCAGCAUCCUCACCGCCCUCCCACCCACCAAGCCUGCCAUCCCCACCACGUCGCCUUCCCACAUCGGUUUCUGGUCCACAACUCAUCCUGUUGCCUCUCCGGUCUCAACCCCUCAUUCCAUUUCAACGCCGCUCACUACCUCAGGGACAUCAACCAUCGACCCGCCAGCAUCCACCAGAGCUUCUGUCCUCCCCGCCACUUCUUCCAUGGCAGUCGCCCUUGUCUCCACAACUUCCCCCAGUGUUGGUAAUCGUCCCAUGCCUCUGCCUGCUCCAGAUGUAGAAAAAAGCACAGAUCUACAGGUGGAGAGCACUGAAAGAAUUCUGACAACAUCUGUUAUUGUAACUAGCACAGACGUUGCUGCAACAACCAAUUCACCAAAGACAAGUCCAGCGGAAAAUACGACAAAAGCAGACGUCCUGAUAAAAUCAAAGCCUAAAAAGAAUAGUCUGCCAAAGAAAACACAGAAAAAGGUUGAUCUGCCAAAGAUUAAUCCAAAAAAGAAUACAGCACUGGACAGGACGCCAGGAAAAAAUAUUACAGCAAAAAUAAAUCCCAAAAAGAAAACUAGCUCUGUGCCAAAAAAGGCUACGUUACCAAACACCCAAACGCCCAAAAAAGGUCCCCCAGCAAAGUCUACACCUAAAAAGACUGCUUCUCCAAAGACAACACCAAAAAAGACUAAUCCUGUAAAGGCUACUCCAAAAAAGACAACUGUAGAAAAGACUACUCCAAAAAAGACAAUUGUAGAAAAGACUACUCCCAAAAAGACAACUGUGGAAAAGACUACUCCAAAAAAGACAAUUGUAGAAAAGACUACUCCCAAAAAGACAACUGUAGAAAAGACUACUCCCAAAAAGACAACUGUAGAAAAGACUACUCCAAAAAAGACAACUGUGGAAAAGACUACAAAGACUACUCCCAAAAAGACAGCUGUGGAAAAGACUACUCCCAAAAAGACAACUGUAGAAAAGACUACUCCAAAAAAGACAAUUGUAGAAAAGACUACUCCCAAAAAGACAACUGUGGAAAAGACUACUCCAAAAAAGUCUACUGCAGCAAAGACUAUUUCAAAAAAGACAUCUCAAGCAAAGGUUAAUUCUAAAAAGGCUCCUCCUGUAAAGAGCCUUCCAGAAAACAUAAAUAAACCUUCUUCUGAAAAGAAGGUUCCACCAAAGACCAAAGUCAUGAAGCAACCUCAGCCAAAGAAAAAUGUCCCGAAAACCCCCCAGCACAAAAGUGUUUUAGAUCCACAGGUCAAAGUCACCGAGAAAGAAGGAAAUGCUAAAAAGACUAUAUCUAAAAAGAAAACACCCAAAAUUCCUAGUUAUUCCACUACAUCUGUCACAUCCUAUACAGACUCACAGCCUUCAACAGAGCAUGUUUCCUCCACUACAUCCUCCACCAUCAGUCCUUAUGCUACAAAAGUGAGCUUUCCAGAGUCAGAAACCGAUGUGAAGUACGUAAGAAACAGUACAGUGGUGACAGAGGAGACUCCGCUGUGGUACGAGGUUAGCUCAGACCCUGGAGUGACGACACCCAGCACCGUCUCUGACCCCGUUACGCCCUCUGAGAGCGUUGUUAUUGAGGACGCUACAGUGUCCAGUGGAACGAUGCCGUACAGCGACGUCUCCAUGACUAGCGGUGGGGAUGUCACAGUAUCCAGCGGGACGAUUCUCAGCGGUGAUGACAUUACUGUGUCCUACAGCAACGUGGGAUUGGUCAGUGACACCAUGGUCUUGGACGAUGGCCUCACCAUGGUGAUACCCACCAUUAGUGAAGACGACUUCACACAGCUGGCCACCUCACCCUGGCUGGAUCUAUCCGAGUACAUCCCUGUGAACAUCCCCGCUCCCACGUCCACCGCAGACCCCUCUACCCCCCACCCCCCACCCAGCACAAUCACUCCUCCAACUGCCAAACCACCAGUCGCCACCACCACCACCGCUGCUGCGAUCUUAGAUCCUCAACGGAGCACCGAAGAGGACAGAGAGAACAACUCCGUCGACAUCGUACCCAGCCGGAUCGGCGGCGCGGACGCCGACGUCUCACUGAACAACCUGAUCCCAAAGCGGCGGGUCAAUCUCAGAGAAAGAACCAAGAACAAACGCAUUCAGGAGCUUCUAGAGGAAAAGCGAAACUUUCUGCUCAGGAUGAAGAGAGGCCACUCAGCACAAUAGAACAAGCCUUCUCCUUUUUCUCUUAUAGAGACGAACAUUUUUCUCUCCAUUCCGCCUGCUGUCGUGCUUUCUGUCAAGCUUUUUCACAAACACAGAAAACUCUCCACCAUAUCACAAUCAGGACCACUGCAGGGUGGGAUCAUCUUGAUCAAUUGUUUGAACAGUUGUUUCAAAUGAAAGGAAACCCUUGAGAGUACAAACUGUUGCAGAUUUGGAGCAAACCGACUCCUCUGUGUAAACACAAUAAUGACAAACAGAUGGAUGAAGAGUGAACAUCCAGGCCUGUUCAAAGUCCUGAUUUUAUCCCCCUGAACCACCUGCAGUCUUGUUUGGGGAUUAGGUGAUGAUGCAUGUAAGUGAUAAUGUAGUUUGUAAAAUGGUAAUUUCCCUUCUGGUGCUUAUGGGGCAACAGAAUUGCCUCCUCGAUUCCAGAUCUCCAUUUCAUGUUUUGCCAGAGCCCAGGACUGCAGCUUCCCCAGACAGAUAGGAUUACUGCUCUGUCUCCUGAUAACUGUUGAUCAAAUUAAAGUGGUUCUUUAAGUGGCUAACGCUCUCAAUACAUUGUACAUACAUAAUGUAUAUUAGUGGCUAUUUUGAGGCCUGAAAGCAAUGUGCCAAAGCCAGACAAUCACAAAGUAAAAUUUAAAUUUAUUGCAGUGCGAAAGUUUACACUGGUUGAAUUGUGCUGCUUUUCUCCAAAGCAAGGACUUUCCAAAGGGUUUUCUUAUCUCUCAGGAAGUUAAAAAAACAGUAUAAAGUCUGCAGAGGGACAUUGCUUGGCUUUGCUUUAUUUUUGUUUUCCUGUUUUCACGGUCAGUCAAAUAUGGUGCUCUUUCUUUUUCUCAGUGUUGCUAACAGCAAUGUCCCUCAUGCAUUCGUUUAAGAAGAAAAAAGAUUAAAAAAAAAUAAAUAAAUAAAUGAAUAAACCAGCCUGUGUAUAUUAAUUGUAUCCAAACCAAAGCUUUAAGGGCCAGUUUAUUUUCUUUCUUUUUUAAAAGUUUUUUUUUUGUACAUCUCUAACUUGCAGCACCUGCAAGAGCACGUAUUUCUG